rnacentral:lncRNA from 1 species
CAUCACGCUCAUGCCAGAUCCGCGCCAGUUGUAAAGCUCCGAUUGGGCCUUGAGUAGAACUUUCUCCGGGAGAUUAGCGGGGCCCGCAGCGAAGUUGAAGACCCGGUCUUCUUGCCCGGAUUGGAUCUGGGCCGCCGUUCGAUCUUGGGUUGGUGCUGAUGCGGCGGAGCAGGUUACUGAAAUGGCUCUUUUGGUGUUAAAAAAAUUGAUCUUUUUAAGGUUGGUGAAAGAUGCGAGAUUGUUUUUAUUGAGUGGGUGGCUAUGACGGUUCUGGAGAAACAGUGAGUGAGGUGAUGAUGUCGUCGUUGCCAUGGCUUGGCAGCUGCUAGUUGAAAGAGAGAGAAGUGCCUUUAUUUUUCUUUUUCUUU